rnacentral:rRNA from 1 species
GUAGGGAAUAUUGGACAAUGGGGGGAACCCUGAUCCAGCCAUGCCACGUGGAGGAAGACUGCCCUCUGGGUUGUAAACUCCUUUUAUAUGGGAAGAACCGUCCUCAUUAAUGAGUGACCUGACGGUACCAUAGGAAUAAGCACCGGCUAACUCCGUGCCAGCAGCCGCGGUAAUACGGAGGGUGCAAGCGUUAUCCGGAUUCACUGGGUUUAAAGGGUGCGUAGGCGGAUAAAUAAGUCAGUGGUGAAAUCAACGGGCUCAACCUGUUAACUGCCAUUGAUACUGUGUAUCUUGAAUAUGAGAGAGGUAGGCGGAAUGUUGCAUGUAGCGGUGAAAUGCUUAGAUAUGCUACGGAACACCGAUUGCGAAGGCAGCUUACUAUUUCGUAAUUGACGCUGAGGCACGAAAGCGUGGGUAGCGAACAGGAUUAGAAACCCCGGUAGUCC